CCUCCAGAUGUUUUGGGACUACAAUUCCUAUCAUCCCUGACCACUGAUUCUGUUAGCUAGGGAUGAUGGGAGUUGUAGUCCCGAAACAUCUGGAGG